rnacentral:rRNA from 1 species
CAAUAGCGUAUAUUAAAGUUGUUGCGGUUAAAAAGCUCGUAGUUGGAUUUCUGCCGAGGACGACCGGUCCGCCCUCUGGGUGUGUAUCUGGUUUGGCCUGGGCAUCUUCUUGGAGAACGUAGCUGCACUUGGCUGUGUGGUGCGGUGUCCAGGACUUUUACUUUGAGGAAAUUAGAGUGUUUCAAGCAGGCACACGCCUUGAAUACAUUAGCAUGGAAUAAUAAGAUAGGACCUCGGUUCUAUUUUGUUGGUUUCUAGAGCUGAGGUAAUGAUUAAUAGGGAUAGUUGGGGGCAUUCGUAUUUAACUGUCAGAGGUGAAAUUCUUGGAUUUGUUAAAGACGGACCACUGCGAAAGCAUUUGCCAAGGAUGUUUUCAUUG